rnacentral:rRNA from 1 species
UACGUAGGGUGCAAGCGUUAAUCGGAAUUACUGGGCGUAAAGCGUGCGCAGGCGGCUUUGCAAGACAGAUGUGAAAUCCCCGGGCUUAACCUGGGAACUGCAUUUGUGACUGCAUCGCUGGAGUGCGGCAGAGGGGGAUGGAAUUCCGCGUGUAGCAGUGAAAUGCGUAGAUAUGCGGAGGAACACCGAUGGCGAAGGCAAUCCCCUGGGCCUGCACUGACGCUCAUGCACGAAAGCGUGGGGAGCGAACAGG